rnacentral:rRNA from 1 species
UACGUAGGGUGCGAGCGCUGUCCGGAAUUAUUGGGCGUAAAGAGCUUGUAGGUGGCUCGUCGCGUCGGGAGUGAAAACCCGCGGCUUAACCGCGGGCCUGCUUUCGAUACGGGCGGGCUAGAGUUCGGCAGGGGAGACUGGAAUUCCUGGUGUAGCGGUGGAAUGCGCAGAUAUCAGGAGGAACACCGGUGGCGAAGGCGGGUCUCUGGGCCGAUACUGACACUGAGAAGCGAAAGCGUGGGGAGCGAGCAGG